CGCAGUUGGGAGCUCAGACCAUCAUGGCUACUGGUGGAGUGUGGACGUUGAGAGAAGUGAUACUGUGUAUUGUAGUGUGUGUAGCCCACGAUGUGUGUGGUGGACGCCGUACUCAGGCAAAGAUCGAAGCUAUACUCACAUCAGGUGCCAGUCCAAAGUUGGACCAUGAACAUGUGUUGGUGGCUGGUGAGGAAACGGUACUGGAGGUGUGGGGCUUGGGACUGUCCAAGGGGCUGGAGGCAGGGCUGACGGCGGCGCAGGGGGUGCAAGGGGCGCCUUGCCAGUCCCUUAUCACGCCUCCCUUGAUUCCUAAUACCGAUACUGUUACCCAUAAACACGCCGUGUUUACCGUCCCGGCUGGCCACACCGGUCACAUCCCUGUCAUAAGCACCAUGGAGCUGUGGUUGUGUACUCGCGAGCAGCACACCUUCAGCAGUGGGCGAGCCCGUCACACAGGCGGCUGGGUGCACCAAGGUCCUCCUUCAAGAGUUGUGUUGGUGGUGAGCCCUAAGCUGGCUCUUGACAGUCCUCGGCGCGUCCACCACAUCCCGCGACGUGCCCAACACAAGCUCAGCUUGCGGAGUGUGGACCGGGCGUCUCUGGCAGCCACAACCCCGCCACAUGUUGCAAACACAACAGUUGCCGGUGCUGACGCGCACGGUGACGCAGCGGUGACGCACGGUGAAGCGGCGGAGGUGACGCACGGUGACGCAGCGGUGACGACGGUAGAGAGUGACGGGGAGGUGGAGGUGACCACGCCGCUCCCCGUCACGAAGAUAGUGGGAGACGGAGCCGUCGCUGGCAUCCAGGGCGAGGAACUAACUGAUGGAAAGAGAGAUGGGGGUAUUGAUAGUGGCGUAGAAGAUACUUCAAACAUGAAAGUGAGCGAGUUAAAACGUGAAGUGGAAGAAGCGAAGCUGAAAAAACCUGGGGACAUAAUGUUGGGGGACAUGCCCUCCCUGGAACCAAAUGGGUCGAGAACUAGUAACGCUGAGCCAACAACUGUGAAGACGUUGUUGAGGGACGAGAUCAGAACUAACGCAGCCAGGGCAGGCGUGAGGGCGAGUGAGAAAUUUGUGGAAGGCGGGAGGAAAGAGGUUGAUCUUGGUGAUGACUUGAUGAAUAUUAUGAAGGAGGAACUGGGAGCGGCCAACUUGGACAUGGGGGAAGGUUGGGACGACAACCCUGGGUCUGAUGCCAACACUGAUGCCACCGUCACUACUGCAGGAGCCGCGGUCAGACGGCAGGUCAGGAUCAUUGGCCUCAGAGUGGAGUCCCACACCAAGGGCAUAGAGUACGAGGGCUUCACUGGCAUCGUCCUGGCCAACGAGGCAGCCACAGUGCGGUUCUUCGGCGAGGGCAUGAACCCCUCCACGGAGAUCCUCUUCACCGCCAACCAGGGCGACUACGGCACCACCUGCGGCGCCAGCACCACCAGGGCCUUCAAGAUGUCUGACCUGGGCGACGGAUGGGCAACAGCCAACAUCGACCUACCGUCCAUGCGCGCUGACCAGAAGUUCUGGUACCUGUGUGUUCGCGAUAGUGACCAGGACCUGGCCUACCACCAGGGCAAUGACCCUUGGAUCACAAUGUCCUCCUACAACCUCCUCCUGCCGCUCUGGAUACAGGCGGUGUUCCUGGUGGUGCUGCUGCUGUUCUCCGGCCUGUUUUCUGGCCUUAACCUGGGUCUGAUGGCGCUGGACAAAACUGAGCUGAAGAUAGUGUCGAACACGGGAUCACCAGACGAGCGGCGGUAUGCACGAGCCAUUGAGCCAGUGCGGCGCCACGGCAACUUCCUGCUGUGCACCCUCCUGCUGGGCAACGUCCUCGUCAACUCCUCCCUCACCAUCCUCCUCGACAACCUGUCCUCGGGGCUCAUCGCCGUCAUCGGCUCCACUAUUGCCAUCGUCGUCUUCGGCGAGAUCAUUCCACAAGCCAUCUGUUCGCGUCACGGGCUGGCCAUCGGGGCGAGGGUGGUGUGGCUCGUCAGGGUGCUCAUGGUCAUCACUGCUCCAGCAGCCUAUCCUAUCUCAAAGAUGUUGGACUGCGUCUUGGGUGAGGAGAUCGGCAACACCUACGACAGAGAGCGCCUCAAGGAGCUUAUUAAGGUAACACAUGAUCACAAUGAUCUGAAGAAGGAGGAGCAGAACAUCAUAUGUGGAGCCCUGGAGCUGCACAAGAAGACUGUGGGGGAGGUCAUGACCAAACUAGACGAUGUAUACAUGCUCAGUGUUGAUACUAUACUAGACUUCAAUACCAUUAAUGAAAUAAUGCAGCAAGGAUAUUCACGUGUGCCUGUUUUUGAGGGGGAACGUACAAAUAUAAUCGCAGUUCUGUUCAUCAAGGACCUGGCAUUUAUUGACCCAGACGAUAACACACCCCUGAGAACACUAAGCCAGUUCUAUCAAAAUCCCUGCAACUUUGUCUUUGUUGACACAACACUGGAUGUCAUGUUUAAAGAAUUUAAAGAAGGUGCAAAGGGUCAUAUGGCUUUUGUUCAUCAAGUUAACAAUGAGGGUGACUGCGAUCCAUUUUAUGAGGUAUUGGGCCUUGUUACUCUAGAAGAUGUCAUAGAGGAGCUAAUUCAAGAGGAAAUUGUGGAUGAAACUGAUGUAUUCACUGACAAUCGCACUAAACGUCGUCGUCUACACAUUGGCCGACCAGACUUUACAGAGUUCUCCCACCCGGCCAAUCAGCCAAAUCUAAAGCGUGUACAGAUAUCUCCUCAAUUGCAAGUGGCAGCUUUGCAGUAUCUUCGCACAUCUAUUGAACCAUUUAAAGAAGGGCAACUCUCAGAAAUGAUAGUUAAAAAGCUUCUGAAUCAAGAUGUUAUUCACAGUAUAAAGUUGCGGAACAAGGAACAUUCCAAAACUGAUCAGCAUACCUUCAUAUACACACAGGGAAAACCAGUUGAUUUCUUCGUACUAAUACUGGAAGGUCAUGUGGAGGUGACUAUAGGAAGAGAGAACUUGACAUUUGAAAGUGGACCAUUCACUUAUUUUGGCUUGGCAGCGCUCUCACAGGCCCAGACUAUAGGAGAAUCACCAUCUGCAUCCACUCAGCUUAGUAAAGGAAGCAUGGUGGGCAGUGUUCAGUCUCUUGAUUCUACAAAGUUUACCUUCCUGCCUGAUUAUUCUGUUCGUGCCAUUACAGAGGUGAUGUACCUGAAAAUUCGAAACACGCAUUAUAUUGCUGCUCGUCGUGCCUACCUUCUAGAACAAGCACAAAGGGAGCCACUUGGAGGAGAAAAUUUUGAGAAUGAGAUUGCCAAAAUGCUAAUUGAGGAUGAAGGACCAAAUUCACCAACCUGGGAGAAUACUCCAGUCACUGCUCGCAACCCUAAGUUACCGCCAGUAGCUAGUUAGCUGCUUGCUGACCCCUAGAGUUAUAAUGUAUCGUAAGGUCUUGGAAACAUGGUGUUUUCAGGUAUGGCAAAUGGAUCUACAGUACAUGCCUUUGAGGAAAGUGAAGAUAUUGAAAUGGCUAUACAGAAUCUAAUGACGAGUGAUCAAGAAAAGAAUAAAUCUUCAGCAGCUACUAAUGGUGGCC
rnacentral:misc_RNA from 1 species